UCAAGCUAUCAGCAGGCAAUUGAAAAUACCUUCUUUUAUGAGAGGGUCAAGAUAGUUUUGUUUUAAGAUCUGUACUUACCGGCAGAAUUGAUUGCAGUUAUGUGCAGAGAAAAAUAUUUCAUUCUCUAUCUCUGACAGAAAGUGGAAAGAGGAAACACUGAAAACAGGAAAAUAUGUGUGAUAUCUAUAGAACAGCAGAUACGUAACUCACAGAGCAGCUGAAGAAUUAAAUCAGAGAAAUCACCAACAGCUUAUAAAGAAUGGAAAUGGGACAAGAAAACAUCAGAUUCUGUACCCACAAAGAGAACUGACCCAACAUAGUAAGCAGCUGAAAAAUGGGAAUGUCAAUUAAUUCCUCUCUUCCCUUCUUUGCCUCUUCUAUAAGGCCAGGGUUGAAUAUC
rnacentral:lncRNA from 12 species